GGAGCACUCUUCUGCAGCCUCUGUAUCAGUUGUCUCCAGAUUCCUGCCCUGCACGAGUUCCUGCCUUGACUUUAUUUGACUGGGUCUCACUAUGUAUCCUUGACUGGCUUACAACUUGUUGGCUUGGAACUUGCUAUAUAGGACAGGCUGGCCUUCAACUCCUAUAUAUUCCUAUGCUUCUCACUCCAAGGUACUGGGAUUAAAAGGAAAAGGAUUUAUGUGUGGUGAAAUGAAGUUACACGAAUGGGAAAAUAAAUAUGGAUGGAGAGGUGAACAGGUUCUUCUAGCAACCCAAUAAAGAACAUUGAUUUGAGGGCGCACGGGGCUGUGAUAUGCUGCAACAUUGAAAUCAGAGGCCAUUAGGACAUUUUCCCAGAACAAAAUGUAUCCCAGAAGAAACAAUGCCACGUGGCUUGUCCUGUGCUCUCACGACUUCUCUUUCAAAUCAUGAUCUUGAUCUGAUGACAAGAAGGGUAUCAUACAAGAGUCUAGAGGACAUGUUACACAUCCUAACAUGCUCAAGGUUCUGGGAUCCAUUUUAGGCAUUAAAAAGAUUG
rnacentral:lncRNA from 1 species